rnacentral:lncRNA from 1 species
GCUGACCUUACCCAGCAGAGGACAUGGCCUUGGAGCUAAAUAAAGGCAGGCCCGUCUUAGAGGGGAUCCCUGGGGGGAAAGAGACGAGCAUAGGUUCCUCCCAAGAUGCCACCCGCUUCAUUCAAGUGUCUGGCAGCACUGUGUUCCUGUUAGAGCCACCAGCACAAGCACCAGACGAUGCUGAUCCAGUGGGUACUCCACAAAGGCAUACUGUAGGCCUGGCAUGUCUUGUCUACUAGCUUCAAUAUGAAUCCGAUUAAAUGUGAUGGGUGAAGGCCCCAGUGCAGCAGCAACAGCACAUGAUGGAGACGAUGAUGAGGAGGAGACCAUCUCUCUGGAUUCCAGAGCAUGAGGUAUCAUGUUAAGACUGUGAAAGUCUAUUUACUCUACAAUGGUGAGGAGUCCUCAUCAAAAUCUAAAAAUCUAAUUUCUUUUACAGACCCAGAUGCUAUACAGUGGGAAAACCAGCCUGGCAACAUAGUGCGUAUUAAUAAAAGGACACCACAUCCUGCCAAAUUCCAGCUGCGCUAAUUGUAUUGUGUUCACCGAGCUCACAAGCUAUCAGAAAGUUGUAUGGCAACCACCUCCGUCGCCAAAUAGAACUGGCAGACAUAGACAUUCAGUACAAG